GGGGAAGUAGCUCAAUGGUAGAGCACCGAUUUGAAUUUCCACUUCUUACAAUGAUGUGUGAAUGUUUCUCACAGAAACAAGGAUCGAGGUUCGAUUCCUCGCUUCUCCA
rnacentral:tRNA from 1 species